rnacentral:rRNA from 1 species
ACUUUCCAGAGAUGGAUUGGUGCCUUCGGGAACUGUGAGACAGGUGCUGCAUGGCUGUCGUCAGCUCGUGUUGUGAAAUGUUGGGUUAAGUCCCGCAACGAGCGCAACCCUUAUCCUUUGUUGCCAGCGGUCCGGCCGGGAACUCAAAGGAGACUGCCAGUGAUAAACUGGAGGAAGGUGGGGAUGACGUCAAGUCAUCAUGGCCCUUACGACCAGGGCUACACACGUGCUACAAUGGCAUAUACAAAGAGAAGCGACCUCGCGAGAGCAAGCGGACCUCAUAAAGUAUGUCGUAGUCCGGAUUGGAGUCUGCAACUCGACUCCAUGAAGUCGGAAUCGCUAGUAA